rnacentral:rRNA from 1 species
AUGAACGCUGGCGGCGUGCCUAAUACAUGCAAGUCGAGCGAACAGACGAGGAGCUUGCUCCUCUGACGUUAGCGGCGGACGGGUGAGUAACACGUGGAUAACCUACCUAUAAGACUGGGAUAACUUCGGGAAACCGGAGCUAAUACCGGAUAAUAUAUUGAACCGCAUGGUUCAAUAGUGAAAGACGGUUUUGCUGUCACUUAUAGAUGGAUCCGCGCCGCAUUAGCUAGUUGGUAAGGUAACGGCUUACCAAGGCAACGAUGCGUAGCCGACCUGAGAGGGUGAUCGGCCACACUGGAACUGAGACACGGUCCAGACUCCUACGGGAGGCAGCAGUAGGGAAUCUUCCGCAAUGGGCGAAAGCCUGACGGAGCAACGCCGCGUGAGUGAUGAAGGUCUUCGGAUCGUAAAACUCUGUUAUUAGGGAAGAACAAAUGUGUAAGUAACUAUGCACGUCUUGUCGGUACCUAAUCAGAAAGCCACGGCUAACUACGUG